UCAUUGUUUACUCAACCAAAUAAUAUAUAAAAUAUAAUCAUAAAGCUCGAAGAAUUUUCGGAGAGAGCAAAACUCUACAAAAACUAGGGUUGUUAGUUAGCACCUUGACAAUUUCAAUAGAAGAUUGUUAAAAUAAUUAUCCAAAUAAAAUAGAGAAAGACCAAAUCCUAGAAGUCAUCAAGCAAUAUCCAAAGGAGUUGUGGCCACUAUAGCUUCAUUAAUCAAAGGCUUUAAAUUUGACACAACAUGAAUAUCUGAUUUCGUUGCACCGGGCUUUAGAGGGUUCUUUAUAGCAAGUUUCGAAGCCUUAGUCUUAGCUUUGAACUUGCUUUUCAAAUUCAUACGAGUCUUUAAAUUAGGAGGCUUCCCCGAAUGCUGGUUCUCUCAAGUAUAGAGACUGGUUUUGGGAGGAAACUACUUUCAAACUCCUUUCUUCAGCCACUCGCACCACCAUCUUUAUGCAAAUCACUAUGUGCUUGUUACUAUGUAGAGAUGUCUCUAGGAGUAAAGCUACUUGAGGGAAGAGAUAAGGACUUUGAAUGAUUUUACAUGGCACUGAUAGCUUAUGGACCAUCAUGAGAAACCCCUGCAACAUAUUUGUGACCACUUGAACCCAACCUAAAAGUCAUUCUAUUUUUAUGUUUAUCCUUCACAGGGUUGGCACCAUUCUUAUAUCUCCUUGGCCAUUCAUUUGUUCACCUCAUAACUGGCUAUGGCAGUCGCCAUAAGUUCUAUUAGCAAGCUCUCCUCUUUUGCACUCUUAGGAGGAGGCCAGGAUAUCUAACCUUAACCAUUAUUACUUUCAUUAGUACUGAACGAUAGCUCCAUGGUUGAACUGUUAGGCAAUGCCCUAUGUCACGUGAGUUUUGUUUUAUCUCCAAAACUUUGCCCACGUGCAGCCUAGCUUGCUUGAUUUCCCCGAAAGUCAAGAUAGUGCAUGGAUCUUUGUGGUGGUGGAUCGGUUCUCUAAAUACGGCAUCUUCAUUCCAGCUCCGAAGGCCAUCACCGCCGAAGAAGCUGCCCGCCUGUUUAUGAAACAUGUGGUAGGCAGUGUUGUUCAACACGGGCCGUGUUGUGCAGCCUUCCCUUGCUAGCUGCGAGGCGGGGCGUGACACCUAGCACAGACCAUGGACCCUUGAGAAGAGCAUUCGAAAAAUCACUUCCUACUCAAAUUUGAUCAUGUAACACUUACCUUAUAUUCCCUUUUAAGUUUCUGCAACCCUUCAAUCUUAGUGCAUAAGGUACGACAGCCAAUCAACCGGACAACCGUUUUCUUCGUUGAUUAUACUAUAAGGUCCUAGAUACUAUUAGAAAACUCAAUAAUGGAGAUACCAUUCUCACAUCUAGUACGAAAAUCACCAUCAUGACCGUCUAUUUCAACUUCCAACACAAUAAUAUUCUAAUUUCUAGCCAUUGUUUCACCCACUCGUUUGUCCUUAAGAGAGACUCCCUCCCUCAGUAACAAACUGGUCAAACUCACUAUCUUGAUUCCGAACCUUAACUUUCUUUGUUGUUCGAUCCUUUCCCAACAAGGGCAGAAAAAGUUCCGUAAAGGGAGCGUUUAAAAACGCAGAGUUAACAU
rnacentral:lncRNA from 1 species